rnacentral:rRNA from 1 species
UACGGAGGAUCCGAGCGUUAUCCGGAUUUAUUGGGUUUAAAGGGUGCGUAGGCGGUCAGGUAAGUUAGAGGUGAAAGCUCGAUGCUCAACAUCGAAACUGCCUCUGAUACUGUCUGACUAGAGUGUAGUUGCGGAAGGCGGAAUGUAUGGUGUAGCGGUGAAAUGCUUAGAGAUCAUACAGAACACCGAUUGCGAAGGCAGCUUACCAAGCUACUUCUGACGUUGAGGCACGAAAGCGUGGGGAGCAAACAGG